rnacentral:rRNA from 1 species
CCUACGGGUGACAGCAGUGAGGAAUAUUGGUCAAUGGACGAGAGUCUGAACCAGCCAAGUAGCGUGAAGGAUGACUGCCCUAUGGGUUGUAAACUUCUUUUAUAUGGGAAUAAAAUGUUCCACGUGUGGGAUUUUGUAUGUACCAUAUGAAUAAGGAUCGGCUAACUCCGUGCCAGCAGCCGCGGUAAUACGGAGGAUCCGAGCGUUAUCCGGAUUUAUUGGGUUUAAAGGGAGCGUAGGUGGAUUGUUAAGGCAGUUGUGAAAGUUUGCGGCUCAACCGUAAAAUUGCAGUUGAAACUGGCAGUCUUGAGUACAGUAGAGGUGGGCGGAAUUCGUGGUGUAGCGGUGAAAUGCUUAGAUAUCACGAAGAACUCCGAUUGCGAAGGCAGUUCACUGGACUGCAACUGACACUGAGGCUCGAAAGUGUGGGUAUCAAACAGGAUUAGAUACCCUGGUAGUC